UACGUAGGGUGCGAGCGUUAAUCGGAAUUACUGGGCGUAAAGCGUGCGCAGGCGGUAAUGCAAGACAGAUGUGAAAGCCCCGGGCUCAACCUGGGAAUGCAUUGGAAACUGGCUUGCUGGAGUGUGGCAGAGGGGGGUGGAAUUCCGCGUGUAGCAGUGAAAUGCGCAGAUAUCAGGAGGAACACCGAUGGCGAAGGCAGGUCCUCUGGGCAUUAACUGACGCUGAGGAGCGGAAAGCAUGGGGAGCGAACAGG
rnacentral:rRNA from 1 species